AUGUUUGGGUCUCAAUUAGUUAAACCGCGAAUUGAUAUUUGUUUCUUGGUGCAGGAGCUUCAAGGCAACAAAGGCAGUAGGCUUCACGGCAACACAUUCUAUGAUUUUCUUCCCAAAUCUGAAACUAUUUGGCCCCUAAAUUGUAGCCCCCUUGAGAAAGUCAGAGUAUUGAUGGUCUGGUCUAUGGAUGUUGACAAAUUUGAUUGCAGCCGGGACCGCAAAGAAAGUGCAGUGCUCACCGUUGUAGAUAUCUUCAGGGCAACAUCAAAUUUCAGUGAGAAGAACAUGGCCAGGCAGGGAGCUUCAUGCAUCAUUGUUCUUCUAUUCCAUAUGGCCACUCUCUACCGCGAGCGCUGUCUCUGGCAAAAGUUUAGUGAGCAGUGCCUGCCGGAGUCGCAGGACUCCUGCAGCUACCCGAAGGAGCAAUAUUUACGGACACCACUCGACGUGGCCAACCCCGCCGUGUGCACCUGGUACACGCUCACGUGCAUCAACUAUACUGACAGUGUCAACGGCGACCCACAGACUUAUGGCGUGCCAGAGGUGUCGCUGCUGCUCACCGCCGAGCUGCGUCAGUCCAAUAACUCCACCUAUGAGCACAUGUUGGCGCGCAAGUUCGCACCUGACUGCCUUGGCCCGCUCAUGGUCAUCGCAGACACUGUCAUCUUCAAAGAUUGA
rnacentral:rRNA from 1 species